GCCCCGCGCGCCGGGGGCUGCGGCGGGCGGCACCGGGAGGCCGCGGGUUCGAGACCCGCCCGCGCCCCGCCGGGACCCGGUUCGAGACCAGCCCCGGGGCGGCAGGGACGCGGUCUCCAGCUGCUCCGGGGAGCUCCCGGCUGGACACGAGGAGCGAUUUCUGCAUGGAAAGGGUGGUGAGACACUGAGGGGGCAGUGACCAGCCCCGGAGCUCUCGGGACCAAGCCCUUUCAGGUUGCCAACAACGGGACUCUUCAAGCCUAGGGAGACACAAUUAAUUCCUGAGGCUGGACAGAACUACACCAGGAAUGUCAAGCUCUUCAUUCUGAAGCUAUAAAAUCCCUGGGGAAUUAGACUCUCUUUUCUCAGAGGGAGACCUGUACUGUGAAGCUCUUGGAAGCCCAAACAUGAAAACACUCUCGGAACAGCUGACAGCCAAGCUACAGCUCAGAAGUUUAGCCCUCCACGCAACCUCCAUUUGGGAUUCCAUCUCUUGGGUGACUAAGGGCAGGGAGAAGCCUCUGGGAGAAUGUCUGGUUGGCUCCACAUCCAUCCUGUUUAACCAGAAGCAGGUGUUCAGCCAGCCAAAACACUCUGAGCAUGCCAUGUGCCAUCCACACAGAGAGGACAGUUCACCACACAAACUGCAGUGUUUUCCCUAGCAGUAACACCAGGAUUUGGCCACUCAAAACUGGUACUUACUGCAUCCACAGUAGCUUUUGCACAGUCUUGACUACAGCAGAAGGGGCUGUCAGACACUGUCAGGUUGGUGCUGGAAGACAUGGGGCACUUGUGAGAAGGUGCAAGCCCAGCCUCCCCCCAGGAGCAUUAAAUAAUGGAACAUGAAGGGUCUCAGGUGCCAGGUGGAGGGGGAAGGCCUGGGGAGGCAGCCAGCAGAUAACAGAAAGCAUGGCACCCCUCAGGAAGGGAUGUUCCAGGGCUUUUAGUUUAGGGAAGAGGAAGGGGCGCAUUGCCACAAGCAUUAACCUACCAGUUGAUCUCCCCUCCAUCAGUUUUCUUUGUUAUUAAAGCUUUCCAGUGUUCGUGGGUGCCUCUGAUGACAUCCAGGGCAAAAUCCUGAAGUUGGAGAUGAGAACAAACAUCAUGCCAUGUGGAAGCACCAGACCACCUUCUCCAGACCAUCACUCACAAGGAGCUGAUUUUAGGCUGGAAGAAACCUCUUCCUCUCCAGUGCUGUUCAAGAAGAGCAGAAACUCCCAGCACACAACAGCUGCAAUAACCAGGAUUGUGCAGCAGAAUUGUUUUGCUUUCAAGAUGGGAGAAUCUGCCAAGGUCACAGAGCAAGCUUGGGGCCAAAAGAAACUGAACACAGUCUCGGGCCAGUGCUCCAUUCUAGAAACACCUCCACCCUGCUGCUCCUCCCACUCGGUUUGUCUCCAGCAGCUGCUGAUCCAGGCCUGUCCAGGAGCUCUCUCCACUCCAGGCAAACAAUUCAGACCAGCAGGAAUAGACAUGUAGCUGAUCUGGCUUUGCAACUACUUAGAAAUGAAUUUGUUUCCAGGCAGAUCAACCUCUUCCCUUAAAAAGGAGCAAUAUAUGCUCAAGCAUUAACCUGUCAGCUGGAGAAGGAAACACACACAGUUCACUGCUGGUGUGAACACUAGCAGUUAAACUCCUGAGUCUGAUACCAAACUGAGCCAAAUAAAACACUGCAGAGCA